GAUGAACGCUGGCGGCGUGCUUAACACAUGCAAGUCGAACGGUGAACGAGGGAGCUUGCUCCCUCCGGAUCAGUGGCGAACGGGUGAGUAACACGUGAGCAAUCUGCCCUGGACUCUGGGAUAAGCGUUGGAAACGACGUCUAAUACCGGAUACGAGGCGUGGGGGCAUCCCCAACGCCUGGAAAGAACUUCGGUCCAGGAUGAGCUCGCGGCCUAUCAGGUAGUUGGUGAGGUAACGGCUCACCAAGCCUACGACGGGUAGCCGGCCUGAGAAGGUUAACGGCCACACUGGGACUGAUAGACGGCCCAUACUCCUACGGGAGGCAGGAGUGGGGAAUAGUGCACACUGGGCGCAAGCCUGAUGCAGCAACGCCGCGUGAGGGACGACGGCCUUCGGGUUGUAAACCUCUUUUAGCAGGGAAGAAGCGAAAGUGACGGUACCUGCAGAAAAAGCACCGGCUAACUACGUGCCAGCCGCCGCGGUAAGAC
rnacentral:rRNA from 1 species